rnacentral:rRNA from 1 species
CAAAAACAUAGCUAUGCGUUAUUACUCGUAGUACUUUCUGCUCAAUGAGAUUUAAAUAGCCGCAGUACCCUGACUGUGCAAAGGUAGCGUAAUCAGUUGUCUUCUAAUUAAAGUCUUGUAUCAACGAACAUAUGGGGGCCCACUUUACCAAUAAUAUUAAACGAAUUUAUUUAAAGGGUGCAAAUACCCUUACAACACAAUAGACGAGAAGACCCUAGAAAUUUUCACAGAUGUUUUUGUUGGGGCAACAUAGUAGCAUGAAACCUACUUUAUGGACAUGAAAAUUGUUUGGUAGCAAAAAUUACUCUAGGGAUAACAGCAUAAUGUAUAAUCGUUUGUGACCUCGAUGUUGGAUUAGGAAGUUAUAACCUAAAAGGUGUUUGAUUGCGCUCUGUUCGAGCG